GGAAUAUUGGUCAAUGGACGCAAGUCUGAACCAGCCAUGCCGCGUGCAGGAUGAAUGCCCUCUGGGUUGUAAACUGCUUUUAUCAGGGAAUAAACCUCUUUACGUGUAGAGAGCUGAAGGUACCUGAUGAAUAAGCACCGGCUAACUCCGUGCCAGCAGCCGCGGUAAUACGGAGGGUGCAAGCGUUAUCCGGAAUCAUUGGGUUUAAAGGGUCCGCAGGCGGAUUUAUAAGUCAGUGGUGAAAUCUCUCGGCUCAACCGAGAAACUGCCAUUGAUACUGUAAGUCUUGAAUUCGGUCGAAGUGGGCGGAAUAUGACAUGUAGCGGUGAAAUGCAUAGAUAUGUCAUAGAACACCGAUAGCGAAGGCAGCUCACUAGGCCUGGAUUGACGCUCAGGGACGAAAGCGUGGGGAGCAAACAGGAUUAGAUACCCGGG
rnacentral:rRNA from 1 species